rnacentral:rRNA from 1 species
CACGCCCUAAACGAUGUACACUAGUUGUUGUGAGGCUCGACCUUGCAGUAAUGCAGUUAACACAUUAAGUGUACCGCCUGGGGAGUACGGUCGCAAGAUUAAAACUCAAAGGAAUAGACGGGGACCCGCACAAGCGGUGGAUGAUGUGGUUUAAUUCGAUGCAACGCGAAAAACCUUACCCACCUUUGACAUGGUCGGAACCCUUUAGAGAUAGAGGGGUGCUCGAAAGAGAGCCGAUACACAGGUGC